CCGAUGAUAGCUCAGUUGGUAGAAAGGAGGAAUGUAGUGGUUGUGCAAUGAUCCUCAGGUAGGCGAUUCGAAUCCGCCUAGUCGGA
rnacentral:tRNA from 1 species